rnacentral:rRNA from 1 species
AAUAUUGGACAAUGGGCGAAAGCCUGAUCCAGCCAUGCCGCGUGUGUGAGGAAGGUCUUCGGAUUGUAAAGCACUUUAAGUUGGGAGGAAGGGGUUGAAGCUAAUACCUUCAAUCUUUGACGUUACCAACAGAAUAAGCCCCGGCUAACUCUGUGCCAGCAGCCGCGGUAAUACAGAGGGUGCCAGCGGUAAUCCGAAUUACUGGGCGUAAAGCGGGGGUAGGUUGUUCGUUAAGUUGGAAGUGAAAGCCCCGGGCUUAACCUGGGAAUUGCUUUCAAAACUGACGAGCUAGAGUACGGUAGAGGGUAGUGGAAUUUCCUGUGUAGCGGUGAAAUGCGUAGAUAUAGGAAGGAACAUCAGUGGCGAAGGCGACUACCUGGACUGAUACUGACACUGAGGUGCGAAAGCGUGGGGAGCAAACAGG